rnacentral:rRNA from 1 species
AUUGAACGCUGGCGGCAUGCCUUACACAUGCAAGUCGAACGGCAGCACGGGAGCAAUCCUGGUGGCGAGUGGCGAACGGGUGAGUAAUAUAUCGGAACGUGCCCAGUCGUGGGGGAUAACGUAGCGAAAGCUACGCUAAUACCGCAUACGAACUAUGGAUGAAAGCGGGGGAUCGCAAGACCUAGCGCGAUUCGAGCGGCCGAUAUCAGAUUAGGUAGUUGGUGAGGUAAAGGCUCACCAAGCCGACGAUCUGUAGCUGGUCUGAGAGGACGACCAGCCACACUGGGACUGAGACACGGCCCAGACUCCUACGGGAGGCAGCAGUGGGGAAUUUUGGACAAUGGGCGCAAGCCUGAUCCAGCAAUGCCGCGUGCAGGAUGAAGGCCUUCGGGUUGUAAACUGCUUUUGUACGGAACGAAACGGCGAGCUCUAAUACAGUUUGCUAAUGACGGUACCGUAAGAAUAAGCACCGGCUAACUACGUGCCAGCCGCCGCAGUAA